GACGAACGCUGGCGGCGUGCCUAAUACAUGCAAGUCGAACGCAGUGGGGACGGGUGAGUAAACCGUGGGUAACCUCCCAUCAGAGGGGAUAACACUUGGAAACCGGUGCUAAACCGAUACUGAUGGAUGGACCCGGGGUGCAUUAGCUAGUUGGUGAGGUAACGGCUAACCAAGGCCACGAUGCAUAGCUGACCUGAGAGUGUGAUCGGCAACACUGGGACUGAGACACGGCCCAGACUCCUACGGGAGGCAGCAGUGGGGAAUCUUGGGCAAUGGACGAAAGUCUGACCGAGCAACGCCGCGUGAGUGAAGAAGGUUUUCGGAUCGUAAAACUCUGUUGUUAGAGAAGCGGUAUCUAACCAGAAAGCCACGGCUAACUACGUGCCAGCAGCCGCGGUAAUUC
rnacentral:rRNA from 1 species